rnacentral:rRNA from 1 species
AUAAUGGGUCAGCGACUUAUAUUCUGUAGCAAGGUUAACCGAAUAGGGGAGCCGAAGGGAAACCGAGUCUUAACUGGGCGUUAAGUUGCAGGGUAUAGACCCGAAACCCGGUGAUCUAGCCAUGGGCAGGUUGAAGGUUGGGUAACACUAACUGGAGGACCGAACCGACUAAUGUUGAAAAAUUAGCGGAUGACUUGUGGCUGGGGGUGAAAGGCCAAUCAAACCGGGAGAUAGCUGGUUCUCCCCGAAAGCUAUUUAGGUAGCGCCUCGUGAAUUCAUCUCCGGGGGUAGAGCACUGUUUCGGCAAGGGGGUCAUCCCGACUUACCAACCCGAUGCAAACUGCGAAUACCGGAGAAUGUUAUCACGGGAGACACACGGCGGGUGCUAACGUCCGUCGUGAAGAGGGAAACAACCCAGACCGCCAGCUAAGGUCCCAAAGUCAUGGUUAAGUGGGAAACGAUGUGGGAAGGCCCAGACAGCCAGGAUGUUGGCUUAGAAGCAGCCAUCAUUUAAAGAAAGCGUAAUAGCUCACUGGUCGAGUCGGCCUGCGCGGAAGAUGUAACGGGGCUAAACCAUGCACCGAAGCUGCGGCAGCGACGCUUAUGCGUUGUUGGGUAGGGGAGCGUUCUGUAAGCCUGUGAAGGUGUACUGUGAGGUAUGCUGGAGGUAUCAGAAGUGCGAAUGCUGACAUAAGUAACGAUAAAGCGGGUGAAAAGCCCGCUCGCCGGAAGACCAAGGGUUCCUGUCCAACGUUAAUCGGGGCAGGGUGAGUCGACCCCUAAGGCGAGGCCGAAAGGCGUAGUCGAUGGGAAACAGGUUAAUAUUCCUGUACUUGGUGUUACUGCGAAGGGGGGACGGAGAAGGCUAUGUUGGCCGGGCGACGGUUGUCCCGGUUUAAGCGUGUAGGCUGGUUUUCCAGGCAAAUCCGGAAAAUCAAGGCUGAGGCGUGAUGACGAGGCACUACGGUGCUGAAGCAACAAAUGCCCUGCUUCCAGGAAAAGCCUCUAAGCAUCAGGUAACAUCAAAUCGUACCCCAAACCGACACAGGUGGUCAGGUAGAGAAUACCAAGGCGCUUGAGAGAACUCGGGUGAAGGAACUAGGCAAAAUGGUGCCGUAACUUCGGGAGAAGGCACGCUGAUAUGUAGGUGAAGUCCCUCGCGGAUGGAGCUGAAAUCAGUCGAAGAUACCAGCUGGCUGCAACUGUUUAUUAAAAACACAGCACUGUGCAAACACGAAAGUGGACGUAUACGGUGUGACGCCUGCCCGGUGCCGGAAGGUUAAUUGAUGGGGUCAGCGCAAGCGAAGCUCUUGAUCGAAGCCCCGGUAAACGGCGGCCGUAACUAUAACGGUCCUAAGGUAGCGAAAUUCCUUGUCGGGUAAGUUCCGACCUGCACGAAUGGCGUAAUGAUGGCCAGGCUGUCUCCACCCGAGACUCAGUGAAAUUGAACUCGCUGUGAAGAUGCAGUGUACCCGCGGCAAGACGGAAAGACCCCGUGAACCUUUACUAUAGCUUGACACUGAACAUUGAGCCUUGAUGUGUAGGAUAGGUGGGAGGCUUUGAAGUGUGGACGCCAGUCUGCAUGGAGCCGACCUUGAAAUACCACCCUU